AUACGGAGGGUGCAAGCGUUGUCCGGAUUUAUUGGGUUUAAAGGGUGCGUAGGUGGCGUGUUAAGUCAGUGGUGAAAGCCUGCAGCUCAACUGUAGAGGUGCCAUUGAUACUGACAUGCUUGAGUAUGGACGAGGUAGGCGGAAUUUGUGGUGUAGCGGUGAAAUGCAUAGAUACCACAAAGAACACCGAUAGCGAAGGCAGCUUACUGGACCAUAACUGACACUGAGGCACGAAAGUGUGGGUAGCGAACAGGAUUAGAAACCCCUGUAGUCC
rnacentral:rRNA from 1 species